CAGGUGCAUGCCUCUAGCAUGAAGUCAGACAAGUG
rnacentral:rRNA from 1 species